rnacentral:rRNA from 1 species
AUUGAACGCUGGCGGCAGGCUUAACACAUGCAAGUCGAGCGGGGGAGGUUGCUUCGGUAACUGACCUAGCGGCGGACGGGUGAGUAAUGCUUAGGAAUCUGCCUAUUAGUGGGGGACAACAUUCCGAAAGGGAUGCUAAUACCGCAUACGCCCUACGGGGGAAAGCAGGGGAUCUUCGGACCUUGCGCUAAUAGAUGAGCCUAAGUCGGAUUAGCUAGUUGGUGGGGUAAAGGCCUACCAAGGCGACGAUCUGUAGCGGGUCUGGGAGGAUGAACCGCCAAACUGGGACUGAGACACGGCCCAGACUCCUACGGGAGGCAGCAGUGGGGAAUAUUGGACAAUGGGCGGAAGCCGGAUCCAGCCAUGCCGGGUGUGUGAAGAAGGCCUUUUGGUUGUAAAGCACUUUAAGCGAGGAGGAGGCUACUAGUACUAAUACUACUGGAUAGUGGACGUUACUCGCAGAAUAAGCACCGGCUAACUCUGUGCCAGCCGCCGCCGUAAUAC